GGAGUGGUCCGGGUGAACGCUGGUCACUGCAGGAAUGGGUGACGGGAGGAAAGUCCGAGCUCCAUAGGGCAGGGUGCUGGCUAACGGCCAGUCGAGGCGACUCGCAGGACAGUGCCACAGAAAACAAACCGCCGGUUCCGCGAGGGGCCGGUAAGGGUGAAACGGUGCGGUAAGAGCGCACCGCGCUCGGGGUGACUCGAGCGGCACGGAAAACCCCACCUGGAGCAAGAGCCAAUAGGAGCGCGUCCUCGAAAGGGGACAAGGGUUGCCCGCCCCAAGCGCUCGGGUUGCUCGCUGAUGAGGCCCCUGGGCAACCAGGGCCCUAGAUGAAUGUUCACCGCCCAUCCCGAAAGGGGUGGGGACAAGACUCGGCUUACAGGGCCACUCCGGUU
rfam:Archangium gephyra strain DSM 2261, complete genome.